GGAAAGGCGCGCGAUACAGGGUGACAGCCCCGUACACAAAAAUGCACAUGCUGUGAGCUCGAUGAGUAGGGCGGGACACGUGGUAUCCUGUCUGAAUAUGGGGGGACCAUCCUCCAAGGCUAAAUACUCCUGACUGACCGAUAGUGAACCAGUACCGUGAGGGAAAGGCGAAAAGAACCCCGGCGAGGGGAGUGAAAAAGAACCUGAAACCGUGUACGUACAAGCAGUGGGAGCACGCUUAGGCGUGUGACUGCGUACCUUUUGUAUAAUGGGUCAGCGACUUAUAUUCUGUAGCAAGGUUAACCGAAUAGGGGAGCCGAAGGGAAACCGAGUCUUAACUGGGCGUUAAGUUGCAGGGUAUAGACCCGAAACCCGGUGAUCUAGCCAUGGGCAGGUUGAAGGUUGGGUAACACUAACUGGAGGACCGAACCGACUAAUGUUGAAAAAUUAGCGGAUGACUUGUGGCUGGGGGUGAAAGGCCAAUCAAACCGGGAGAUAGCUGGUUCUCCCCGAAAGCUAUUUAGGUAGCGCCUCGUGAAUUCAUCUCCGGGGGUAGAGCACUGUUUCGGCAAGGGGGUCAUCCCGACUUACCAACCCGAUGCAAACUGCGAAUACCGGAGAAUGUUAUCACGGGAGACACACGGCGGGUGCUAACGUCCGUCGUGAAGAGGGAAACAACCCAGACCGCCAGCUAAGGUCCCAAAGUCAUGGUUAAGUGGGAAACGAUGUGGGAAGGCCCAGACAGCCAGGAUGUUGGCUUAGAAGCAGCCAUCAUUUAAAGAAAGCGUAAUAGCUCACUGGUCGAGUCGGCCUGCGCGGAAGAUGUAACGGGGCUAAACCAUGCACCGAAGCUGCGGCAGCGACGCUGAUGCGUUGUUGGGUAGGGGAGCGUUCUGUAAGCCUGCGAAGGUGUGCUGUGAGGCA
rnacentral:rRNA from 1 species